UUACACAUAUACAUGUAGACAAAAAAUAAAAGUGUAAUCGAAAAAAAUGAAAUCAAAUUAAAUUUUCAUGGAGUGAAGUCAUGAACUUGCCGCAGUUAACAGAAAACUUUUAUGAAAAUGCAAAUGCGAGAAGAAAGAAAGAAAGAAAACUUUGGCGCCGCUCGCAACUAAAAAUCGCUUCAUUCUAAUUACUUCCGUUUGGACAGAGGAUCAGGGAGCUGCAGCUGGGAGCGCGCGAGCCGCAGAAGGACUUCCUGCCAGCGUGGCAGGACACGUCCAGUUUAAGUAAUGUCGGAAACAGAUGUCGCCGCCAAGCCGAGUAGAACCGCCCGCCCAGCCCUCAUUCAAGCACACACUGCCCGGCAGCCUGUGCCAUAGCCAAAAGAAUCCAGUGAAUCCACUGAAUCCGGCCAACCAACACACACUUUAUAAUCUUUUAUCGCAUUUUUUCUACUUGGUUGACACAAAGAGCGUAUUUAUGCGACUGUUAACGUUAUGAAAAGCCCAUAAUUUGCCAGCCACCCUACGUAUUUGCCAUAUAAUAAAAAUAAUAAACGUUAUGCUGAAAAUCGAUAGCAAA